GGAUUUACGUCUAGGAUUUGGUUCUGAAUCCUUUUCUGGAAGUAUAGCUCGUUGAAGUAUUUUGUGGAUCAUUUCAUAACUGGUAAAUGUAAUAACAGCAGAGGGUGUGGUCCUUAGAAGAUUGGUUCCACAACCCCGGUAGAAUGCAGUCAGACGUUCCUGUUUGAACAUCUUUUUUACACAAUCGACAACCCCAUUAUAUGCUUU
rnacentral:misc_RNA from 1 species